rnacentral:rRNA from 1 species
GCAUAUCAAUAAGCGGAGGAAAAGAAACCAACAGGGAUUGCCCUAGUAACGGCGAGUGAAGCGGCAACAGCUCAAAUUGAAUCUGGCCUCGGCCCGAGUUGUAAUUGCAGAGGAUGCUCUGGCGCGGUGCCUUCCGAGUUCCCUGGAACGGGACGCCACAGAGGGUGAGAGCCCCGUAUGGUCGGACACCAAGCCUGUGUGAAGCUCCUUCGACGAGUCGAGUAGUUUGGGAAUGCUGCUCUAAAUGGGAGGUAAAUCUCUUCUAAAGCUAAAUACCGGCCAGAGACCGAUAGCGCACAAGUAGAGUGAUCGAAAGAUGAAAAGCACCUUGAAAAGGGGGUUAAAUAGUACGUGAAAUUGUUGAAAGGGAAGCACUUGUGACCAGACUUGGGCCGGGCGGCUCAUCAGGGGUUCUCCCCUGUGCACUCCGCCCGGCACAGGCCAGCAUCGGUUCCCGUGGGGGGAUAAGACCGCCAGGAACGUAGCACCCUCCGGGGUGUGUUAUAGCCUGGCGGACGAUACCCCCGUGGGGACCGAGGUUCGCGCUCCGCAAGGAUGCUGGCGUAAUGGUCAUCAGUGACCCGUCUUGAAACACGGACCAAGGAGUCGUCCAUUAGAGCGAGCGUUUGGGUGUAAAACCCGCACGCGUAAUGAAAGUGAACGCAGGUGAGAGCUUCGGCGCAUCAUCGACCGAUCCUGAUGUUCUCGGAAGGAUUUGAGUAAGAGUUUUAACGGACGGACCCGAAAGACAGUGAACUAUGCUUGUAUAGGGUGAAGCCAGAGGAAACUCUGGUGGAGGCUCGCAGCGGUUCUGACGUGCAAAUCGAUCGUCAAAUAUGAGCAUGGGGGCGAAAGACUAAU